AUGAAUCUCGGUGGUACCGAGUUGCACUAAACGUGGCAACUUUUGAAUUCUCGGUGAGACAGACAUAUGAAUCUCGGUGGUACUGAUACGAUGACCUAGACCAGUUUCUAAAUCUCAGUGAGAACGAUUUCAAACUCGGAAAUUCCGAUUCUUGAAAUCUUCUCAAUAGAAAGCUGGUCACUCAAUCUCGAUGGCACCGAUGUGAAAGUUGGUGGAAUUGAGAUAGUAUGGUUUGGCAUAGGAUCCGUCAAGUGAAAAAUCGGUAGGGCCGAGUGAAAAUAGUUGGUGGCACCGAUUUUGCUGGUUUGGCUUUGG
rnacentral:lncRNA from 1 species